UCGUAACAAGGUUUCCGUAGGUGAACCUGCGGAAGGAUCAUUACCGAGUGCGGGUCCUUUGGGCCCAACCUCCCAUCCGUGUCUAUUGUACCCUGUUGCUUCGGCGGGCCCGCCGCUUGUCGGCCGCCGGGGGGGCGCCUCUGCCCCCCGGGCCCGUGCCCGCCGGAGACCCCAACACGAACACUGUCUGAAAGCGUGCAGUCUGAGUUGAUUGAAUGCAAUCAGUUAAAACUUUCAACAAUGGAUCUCUUGGUUCCGGCAUCGAUGAAGAACGCAGCGAAAUGCGAUAACUAAUGUGAAUUGCAGAAUUCAGUGAAUCAUCGAGUCUUUGAACGCACAUUGCGCCCCCUGGUAUUCCGGGGGGCAUGCCUGUCCGAGCGUCAUUGCUGCCCUCAAGCCCGGCUUGUGUGUUGGGUCGCCGUCCCCCUCUCCGGGGGGACGGGCCCGAAAGGCAGCGGCGGCACCGCGUCCGAUCCUCGAGCGUAUGGGGCUUUGUCACAUGCUCUGUAGGAUUGGCCGGCGCCUGCCGACGUUUUCCAACCAUUCUUUCCAGGUUGACCUCGGAUCAGGUAGGGAUACCCGCUGAACUUAAGCAUAUCAAUAA
rnacentral:misc_RNA from 1 species